GAUGAACGCUGGCGGCGUGCCUAAUACAUGCAAGUCGAGCGAACAGACGAGGAGCUUGCGCCUCUGACGUUAGCGGCGGACGGGUGAGUAACACGUGGAUAACCUACCUAUAAGACUGGGAUAACUUCGGGAAACCGGAGCUAAUACCGGAUAAUAUAUUGAACCGCAGGGUUCAAUAGUGAAAGACGGUUUUGCUGUCACUUAUAGAUGGAUCCGCGCCGCAUUAGCUAGUUGGUAAGGUAACGGCUUACCAAGGCGACGAUGCGUAGCCGAGCUGAGAGGGUGAUCGGCCACACUGGAACUGAGACACGGUCCAGACUCCUACGGGAGGCAGCAGUAGGGAAUCUUCCGCAAUGGGCGAAAGCCUGACGGAGCAACGCCGCGUGAGUGAUGAAGGUCUUCGGAUCGUAAAACUCUGUUAUUAGGGAAGAACAAAUGUGUAAGUAACUAUGCACGUCUUGACGGUACCUAAUCAGAAAGCCACGGCUAACUACGUG
rnacentral:rRNA from 1 species